UAGGGAAUCUUCCACAAUGGACGCAAGUCUGAUGGAGCAACGCCGCGUGAGUGAAGAAGGUUUUCGGAUCGUAAAGCUCUGUUGUUGGUGAAGAAGGAUAGAGGUAUUAACUGGCCUUUAUUUGACGGUAAUCAACCAGAAAGUCACGGCUAACUACGUGCCAGCAGCCGCGGUAAUACGUAGGUGGCAAGCGUUGUCCGGAUUUAUUGGGCGUAAAGCGAGCGCAGGCGGAAGAAUAAGUCUGAUGUGAAAGCCCUCGGCUUAAUCGAGGAACUGCAUCGGAAAGUGUUUUUCUUGAGUGCAGAAGAGGAGAGUGGAACUCCAUGUGUAGCGGUGGAAUGCGUAGAUAUAUGGAAGAACACCCGUGGCGAAGGCGACUCUCUGGUCUGCAACUGACGCUGAGGCUCGAAAGCAUGGGUAGCGAACAGG
rnacentral:rRNA from 1 species